rnacentral:tRNA from 1 species
GCUGACGUAGCUCAACUGGUAGAGCAGCUCACUUGUAAUGAGCAGGUUGGGGGUUCAAGUCCCUUCGUCAGCUCCA